AUUCAGAAAAAAAAAAAGAAAAAGAAGUUCAUAUACAGUUUGAGUUGACACUUACAAUUUUAGGGAAAGAGGCAAAACACCUGAAAUUCUUUUAUCACACUAUCAAACAUGGUUUUAUAUUGUGGCCACAAUCACAGGUAAUGGAAAUAGGCCUGUAACGGCCGUAACGUAAUGGUAACAGCUUGAUGCUACACAAAUUUUUUUGA
rnacentral:misc_RNA from 1 species